AGAGUUUGAUCCUGGCUCAGGAUGAACGCUGGCGGCGUGCUUAACACAUGCAAGUCGAACGAAGCACUUUAUUUGAUUUCCUUCGGGACUGAUUAUUUUGUGACUGAGUGGCGGACGGGUGAGUAACGCGUGGGUAACCUGCCUUGUACAGGGGGAUAACAGUUGGAAACGGCUGCUAAUACCGCAUAAGCGCACAGCAUCGCAUGAUGCAGUGUGAAAAACUCCGGUGGUAUAAGAUGGACCCGCGUUGGAUUAGCUAGUUGGUGAGGUAACGGCCCACCAAGGCGACGAUCCAUAGCCGACCUGAGAGGGUGACCGGCCACAUUGGGACUGAGACACGGCCCAAACUCCUACGGGAGGCAGCAGUGGGGAAUAUUGCACAAUGGGCGAAAGCCUGACGCAGCGACGCCGCGUGAGCGAAGAAGUAUUUCGGUAUGUAAAGCUCUAUCAGCAGGGAAGAUAAUGACGGUACCUGACUAAGAAGCACCGGCUAAAUACGUGCCAGCAGCCGCGGUAAUACGUAUGGUGCAAGCGUUAUCCGGAUUUACUGGGUGUAAAGGGAGCGCAGGCGGUGCGGCAAGUCUGAUGUGAAAGCCCGGGGCUCAACCCCGGUACUGCAUUGGAAACUGUCGUACUAGAGUGUCGGAGGGGUAAGCGGAAUUCCUAGUGUAGCGGUGAAAUGCGUAGAUAUUAGGAGGAACACCAGUGGCGAAGGCGACUAACUGGACUGUAACUGACGCUGAGGCGCGAAAGUGUGGGGAGCAAACAGGAUUAGAUACCCUGGUAGUCCACACUGUAAACGAUGAAUGCUAGGUGUAGGGGGUAUCGACCCCUUCUGUGCCGCAGUCAACACAAUAAGCAUUCCGCCUGGGGAGUACGGCCGCAAGGUUGAAACUCAAAGGAAUUGACGGGGGCCCGCACAAGCAGCGGAGCAUGUGGUUUAAUUCGACGCAACGCGAAGAACCUUACCAGGUCUUGACAUCCACUUAAACUUACAGAGAUGUAAGGUGUGCUUGCACAAAGUGAGACAGGUGGUGCAUGGUUGUCGUCAGCUCGUGUCGUGAGAUGUUGGGUUAAGUCCCGCAACGAGCGCAACCCUUAUCUUCAGUUACUAACGCGUAGAGGUGAGGACUCUGAAGAGACUGCCGGGGACAACUCGGAGGAAGGUGGGGACGACGUCAAAUCAUCAUGCCCCUUAUGACCUGGGCUACACACGUGCUACAAUGGCCACGACAGAGAGAAGCGAAAUCGCAAGGUAGAGCGGAACUCAAAAAAGUGGUCCCAGUUCGGAUUGUGGGCUGCAACCCGCCCACAUGAAGUCGGAGUUGCUAGUAAUCGCGGAUCAGCAUGCCGCGGUGAAUACGUUCCCGGGCCUUGUACACACCGCCCGUCACACCAUGGGAGUUGGGAGUGCCCAAAGCCGGUGAGGCAACCGCAAGGAGCCAGCCGUCUAAGGCAAGACCAAUGACUGGGGUGAAGUCGUAACAAGGUA
rnacentral:rRNA from 1 species